AAGAAAGUGACUGCCGCCCCGCACAGGGGCAGUGCCAAUAGACCGACACGAAAACAGGAUUCCACGUCAGCGGAAGCAAAAAAACAGUAGACCGAC
rnacentral:sRNA from 1 species